GUGGGUGGGGGGCAGGCCUCUGCGUAAGUCUGUGUGGGAAGGGAAAUUUGCCCGUCUCCUUUUUUCCAAGGGAAAAAAGCCCCUGAAGCUGACUUCUGCGCCCCUGAGAACCGAGACUCUCCGGGAGAACCAUUUAGCGUCCAUCCGUACAUCCCGCGUGUGGACAGAGUUCCGCCUGCGGGAGGAACUGGGGCCUCCUGGCCUUUUUUUAGGGCUGUGGGAUGUGGAGGUCGCAUGCCUGUUUUAAACUUCAUAUCACGUGCUUCAGAUUCUAAUUUGGCUGCUUUUCUAUCCUGUGCGGGCAGCUCAGACCGGAGGAGGCUAGGAAAGCCCUCGAGACUGGGAGGAAACGGAACCCUGUUGCCGAGGCACCCUCCAAGCCUCCGGCCCUUUGCGGGGCGAGCCUGGCUGCGGGCUACAAGUCCCAAAUCCGGCCGUACGGGCCCACAGUAAGUCGGAAACAAGUGCUCGCAGGUCCCCGCUUUGCUUUGGGUUUCAUUGUUUCUUAGUGCAAAUCAAUUCACUUAGGACUCCCCGCUGAUCUGAGAGUUUAAAAAGGGCGCUUCUGUGCUGACGGGCUGGAGGGAAAGUGGUUUCCCUAGAGGUUGGGGUCAAGGGUAGGAGAGAAGAGGUAGACUUGGCCUGGAGUCAUCAUGCCGUCUGUGGAGUCGCACAGAGUCGGACACGACUGAGGUGACUUAGCAGCAGCAGCAGCAUGACCCGGCUUUAAAAACGGGUUCCUCAUUUUACACACCGGUCGCAAGAUCAAAGAGCGGCGGAGCGGAGUGCCACUGCUAGCCUUGGAAUGAGGCUAUGUUUAACCUCCGCCCUCAACAGUGGCCAGUGGGCAACCCGGGGCCUUGAGGCCUCCCUGGGGCACGCGACCAUUGCAGGGAACGUCCAAGUUGAGACCCGUUGGAGGCUCGUGACGGCUUCCGCUGAACCUGGGCCGCUCCCACAUCACGAUCGGGAAUUUCUCCAGCUUAACUAUAGACGGAAACGCCAUUUGGGAACUACGACUUGGCGGGCCCUGGCGACCCGCCUCGGCUCCCAGGAGCCCAGGCUUGCCCGAAGUAGUCCAGGACUCUCUUUAAACCGAGCCGCCUCACAGGCAUGGGGUUCUAUCAGCAUAGCCCGAGGGCCGGAAAACUGGACGUGAACCAAAAAAGCCUGGAGAACCACACAGACCACAGAGGAUCUGGGAGGAUCAGACGCGGCCAACGGGCCUUCUCCGCCUCCUUCCCACCAGGGGCUGCCCAGGUAGCAGCAGUGGUGAAGAA
ensembl:lncRNA